CAUAAAUUAUCACUAUUGUAAUGAGACUGUUGAAUAUGAUGUAGGCAAAAAAAAGUGGACAAGUUGUGGAGCGUGCAGCUAUUUUUGCAAAAGUAUACUGUACCAAAGAUGGGAAUCCUAUUAGUGAUGAAGUGCGAGAUAAGAUUGAUAAAAUGACUGAAAUUUUAAACAACGGGGGUAAACUAUAAGGAGACCGUCGUGAAGGAAUCCUAUGGUCAAAAGAUGAUGCGUUUGCUCAAGUGAUGGGCAAAGAACGUUGUGGACGUGUACGUGUACGUGGGGUCAGUUUUGGACCAACCCAAACAGGAAGAAGUGGGUCCAACCUUUCAUGUUUGACUGGGCCGUCAUCCAGUGAAAUGGCCCAUCGGAUGACUGAAUUGGAAAAUUCGCUGAGGGACCAACUUGCUGAGUCAGAGCAGAGGCAUCAGGAGCAAAUGGCCUCAUUGCAUGCACGGCAUAAGGAGGAAAUUGCCGAAGCACUGGCCGAAGCAAAGCGGGAAUCAGAUGCACGGCAUGAGCAGCAAAUGGCUAAAGCAAAGUGGGAAUCAGAUGCACGACAUGACCAGCAAAUGGCCGAAGCAAAGCGGGAAUCAGAUGCACGACAUGACCAGCAAAUGGCCGAAGCAAAGCGGCAAAUGGAUGAAAUGAUGUUGGGCGUGAGAGCCAUGUUACAAGAUAAUGCGUUUGCUCAAGUGAUGGGCAAAGAAUGUUGUGUACAUGUACAUGUACGUGGGGUCAGUUUUGGACCAACCCCAAUAGGAAGAAGUGGGUCCAACCUUCCAUUUUUGACUGGGCCGUCGUCCAGUGAAAUGGCCCAUCGGAUGACUAAAAUGAAAAAUUCAUUGAGGGACCAACUUGCCGAGUCAGAGCAGAGGCAUCAGGAGCAAAUGGCUUCAUUGCAUGCAUGACAUAAGGAGGAAAUUGCCGAAGCACUGGCCGAAGCAAAGCGGGAAUCAGAUGCACGGCAUGAGCAACAAAUGGCUGAAGCAAAGCGGGAAUCAGAUGCAUGGCAUGACCAGCAAAUGGCCGAAGCAAAGCGGCAAAUGGAUGAAAUGAUGUUGGGCGUGAGAGCCAUGUUACAAGAAGCCAUGUUACAAAGCAGCGUGAGCAGUUUAAGCAAUUUUUCAGGAUAGCGCUGCAUCACAGUGAGGACUCUUCGUGGAUAUUUUAAGAUUGUAUGUUGUAUAACUUUUUGGCUGUAUCAGAAGGAAUAUUGUAAACAUGAUGUCUGAUGCUCGCUGCAUCUUUUUUGUGUCAAAUGGACUUUAAACUUUUUCCCUCCAUUUUGUUGCUAUAUUGAACUGCAUAUUCCUUAAAGAUUGAUAAUUUUCCCGUAUUCGUUAGAGAUAUUGAUUUGUGACAGGUUUGAGAAAA